UGGCUCAGUUGGUAGAGCAUGGUGUUUGCAAUGCCAGGGUUGUGGGUUUAAUUCCCAC
rnacentral:tRNA from 1 species